GAUCAUGGCUCAGGAUGAACGCUAGCUACAGGCUUAACACAUGCAAGUCGAGGGGUAGCAGGGUAGCAAUACCGCUGACGACCGGCGCACGGGUGAGUAACACGUAUCCAACCUUCCCAUAACUCAGGGAUAGCCUUUCGAAAGAAAGAUUAAUACCUGAUAGUACUUUUUCAAGGCAUCUUGAGAAAGUUAAAGAUUUAUUGGUUAUGGAUGGGGAUGCGUUCCAUUAGAUAGUUGGUGAGGUAACGGCUCACCAAGUCUUCGAUGGAUAGGGGUUCUGAGAGGAAGGUCCCCCACAUUGGUACUGAGACACGGACCAAACUCCUACGGGAGGCAGCAGUGAGGAAUAUUGGUCAAUGGGCGAGAGCCUGAACCAGCCAAGUAGCGUGAAGGAUGAAGGUCCUAUGGAUUGUAAACUUCUUUUAUAGUAGAAUAAAGUGAUCCACGUGUGGAUUUUUGUAUGUAUACUAUGGAUAAGGAUCGGCUAACUCCGUGCCAGCAGCCGC
rnacentral:rRNA from 1 species